UACGCGUAUGCAUUACUUGUAUAUGUACUCAAUAAGUAUGUAUCUUAUUUACACUUGUCAUAUGACAUAAAUGUGUAUGUUGCAAUAACGAAGUGUAUUACAUACUAACAGCUGAUAGUAUAUCCAACUCAUAUAUUCAAUUCAAGUAAAAUAUUUGUUGGAUCCAUGUAGUCACUUUGUAUGAACGAUUCGAAUUUGAAGAAAGAUCUUUUGGAAGGCUCGCAGCAGGUAUUUGUAUUUUAUAUGUGACAAGAGUACGCGGUUCACCAGUCGGUACGAAAAUGUCUUGCAUUUAUCAACGGACAGCAAAAUGGCUACAAAACGGCAACGAUUAUCUCCUUGAAAAGGUACACGCUAACGUGCGAAAACUCGGAAUACUUUGGCCAAUGAACGAACAGAUAGGUGCAUGAUUUUAUUCACUGUACCUGUCUUGAAUUGUUGAAAUGUGUAAGCGGCGAUGGAAAAAAUUGUUUUACUCGGUCGAUACGCGCCAAUAUAAUAUCUGUCUCUAUAUGUACUUCCCCCAGUAAGCAAGUGACGCCACCUUAAGCAUCGCACAGCUGCAUCUUUAUCGUCACUAAAUUAGGUUGCGACGACUGCAUUCGUAAAUGGAACGGUUCGAAGCCAUGACAUGAUGUGUACCUUCAUACAAUGUAUCUACACUUUGAUUGGUCGAACAGUUGAAAGGCUCUACAUAUCCAUGUACUGAUCCAAAUACGUUAACAAUAUAAAAAUUUUGAAGCUUUGUUACAACAACAAAUCGUACAUUGUGCAAUAAAUAGUGAAGGCACGUCAUAUCUUGUUACAGAUUAA